rnacentral:miRNA from 12 species
UGGCCCACAAGUACAUCAUUAGC